AUUUUAUAUACCCAUUUACAACCGAUUGGUUUCUUAUUUUUAGGCAUUGGGACUAUAUCCCAAGGGAAAUACAGGCUUUGAAAGUAAAUAA